rnacentral:lncRNA from 10 species
CUCCUGGCCGCGGCGCAGCUCGCGUUCGCCAUCCCGUUCCUCCGGGCCCGGAUCCCACGCUCCGGGCUUUAGCUGCGACCGAGUAGGCAGUCGGGGCGAAGGAAACGGGAACUGAAAGCGAUGAAAAGCGUUCCACACGCCACGAGCCCGCGGGAUCCUCGGAGAGUAUGGAACCCUUCCCCUCCGCUCUCAGCCGGAGGCCAGCUGCGUCCAGCCGGGCUCGGUCUUCUGAACACCGAUUUCAAAUCAGGUCCUCGGGGCCCAGCGUCACUUAGGGAAGUGGUGGCAUUUUGUGGUUGCUGCUAAAUCACGGAGAGCAGCCUUGGCGCUGCCGGUCCCAACUUGAUCCAAGGAGCCUUGAGAAGGAGAUGAGAUUCAGUACCAGGGGCCGGCCGUGGCUCCCAUCCUCCGGAAUCUGCAAAAUGGCUACUUCUUCAGAAAUAAUGGGGAGAGGGAUGGCAAGAGGCCAGAGAUCAAGGCCCUCGAGUAUUAACUUGAGCAUUUGGGCACAAAAUAGACACUUUUGGAUUUUCCCGUCUUUUCCAACACCAAGGAUGAGAUUAUCAAAAGAUGUGUUAAAUUAAUUUGUACCGGCCGGGCGCGGUGGCUUACGCCUGUAAUCCCAACACUUUGGGAGGCCGAGGCGGGCGAAUCACAAGGUCAUGAGUUCGAAACCAGCCUGGCCAAUAUGGUGAAACCCCCGUCUCUACUAAAAAUACAGAAAUUAGCCGGGAGUGGUGGCGUACGCCUGUAGUCCCAGCUACUCUGGAGGCUAAGGCAGGAGAAUCGCUUGAAUCCGGGAGGUGGAGGUCGCAGUGAGCCGAGACCGGGCCACUGCACUCCAGCCUGGGAGACAGAGCGAGACUCUGUCUCAAGAAAAAAAAAAAAUCAAUUUGUACCAUUCCUUGCCCCACCCUGCCGAACUUAUUGAAAGAGCAUCGCUUUCCUCACUUUUCUCCUCUAACAGAAAAGCACUUAGAUGAAGCUACAGGGAGCCAGAAUUCUUUUGACUUGGUGGGUACCGGAGGAUUGGAAGAAUCUAGAUUGAGUAUUCCUUGGCCUUUGGGGAGCUUGCUCUAUGCAAAGUCACCCAGGAAAUGAUACUCCCCCCACUGUGAAACACUAGCUAGAGAUGAUAGACAAAAAGCACAUUUGUUGUAAUCUCCCUUUGACGGGAUUCAGGUUGGGAUAGAUGUCGAAGCAGCUGCUUCUAGGUAGUCAACGAAGAUGUCAACUAGUAAAUGACAACAGACAAGGAUGAGCACAGCAGAGCUGUACGAUUCUAGAUAUCAAAAAGAGCAAGCAGUCUGUUGUACUCACCAUCGCAUCCUCAGCAGCUGCCCAGUGCCCGGUUUUAACUUAGUGCUCAGUGUAUGUGUCAGGUUUGAAUCCCAAUUCUGAUACUACCUGUGCUACUCUCUUCACCUCUCUGAGUCUGUAAAGGAUUAUUUAAGAAUUAAAUGAAACAACAUACAGAAAGAUAUAAGAAAGAUUGGAGAACUGUGUGCCUGGCAAUUGCCUUGCUGAAAGGAAGCCCUCAGAAAAAGUUGUUUGAUGGUGAGAGCUGGCCAAGCCAGAAAGACAAACCAAGCGACUUUGAGUGGGGGCUUUGUGUCACAAGGCAUCAGUAGACCUGGAGACUGAGUUCAGGCAAUCAAUCAAUCAAUCAAUCAAUCAGGCCUACAGAAUGAAACUCCAACUAAAAACUGUGGACACCAAAGCUCAGCUGAUUUCCUGGUUGGCAAUACUCCAUGCAUAUUGUCACACAUCAAUGCCAGCUGGUCAGUGGUAG